GAUGAACGCUGGCGGCGUGCCUAAUACAUGCGAGUCGAGCGAAUGGAUUAAGAGCUUGCUCUUAUGAAGUUAGCGGCGGACGGGUGAGUAACACGUGGGUAACCUGCCCAUAAGACUGGGAUAACUCCGGGAAACCGGGGCUAAUACCGGAUAACAUUUUGAACCGCAUGGUUCGAAAUGGAAAGGCGGCUUCGGCUGGCACUUAUGGAUGGACCCGCGUCGCAUUAGCUAGUUGGUGAGGUAACGGCUCACCAAGGCAACGAUGCGUAGCCGACCUGAGAGGGUGAUCGGCCACACUGGGACUGAGACACGGCCCAGACUCCUACGGGAGGCAGCAGUAGGGAAUCUUCCGCAAUGGACGAAAGUCUGACGGAGCAACGCCGCGUGAGUGAUGAAGGCUUUCGGGUCGUAAAACUCUGUUGUUAGGGAAGAACAAGUGCUAGUUGAAUAAGCUGGCACCUUGACGGUACCUAACCAGAAAGCCACGGCUAACUACGUGCCAGCCGCCGCCGUAA
rnacentral:rRNA from 1 species